rnacentral:lncRNA from 1 species
ACCAAGCAUAACAUCCUGCAAGCCUAUAGCCCUGAAAUGCUGUGAUGCCCUGCCCUAGCCUGGUCCUCUCCACUGGUCCCCAUGACCUGCCUAGCACCAGCUUUAUCAGCCUGCUGCAGUGGGAGAAAACAGGGUCUGGGCUGCAGUGGGAGAAAACAGGGUCUGGGGCUGCAGUGGGAGAAAACAGGGACUGGGGCUGCAGUGGGAGAAAACAGGGUCUGGGCUGCAGUGGGAGAAAACCGGGACUGGGCUGCAGUGGGAGAAAACAGGGUCUGGGCUGCAGUGGGAGAAAACAGGGACUGGGGCUGCAGUGUGAGAAACAGGGACGGGGCUGCAGUGGGAGAAAACAGGGGCUGCAGUGGGAGAAAACAGGGACUGGGGCUGCGUGGGAGAAAACAGGAUGGGGCUGUAAGUGGGAGAAAACAGGACUGGGGCUGUAGUGGGAAGAAAACAGGGACUGGGGCUGCAGUGGGAGAAAACAGGGACUGGGGCUGUAGUGGGAGAAAACAGGGACUGGGGCUGCAGUGGGAGAAAACUGGGGCUGCAGUGGGAGAAACAGGGACUGGAGCUGCAGUGGGAGAAAACAGGAUGGGGCUGCAGUGGGAGAAAACAGGUCUGGGCUGCAGUGGGAGAAAACAGGGACUGGGCCUGCAGUGGGAGAAAACAGGACUGGGGCUGCAGUGGGAAGAAACAGGACUGGGGCUGUAG